rnacentral:rRNA from 1 species
AACGCUAGCUACAGGCUUAACACAUGCAAGUCGAGGGGCAGCAUGGUCUUAGCUUGCUAAGACUGAUGGCGACCGGCGCACGGGUGAGUAACACGUAUCCAACCUGCCGUCUACUCUUGGACAGCCUUCUGAAAGGAAGAUUAAUACAAGAUGGCAUCAUGAGUCCGCAUGUUCACAUGAUUAAAGGUAUUCCGGUAGACGAUGGGGAUGCGUUCCAUUAGAUAGUAGGCGGGGUAACGGCCCACCUAGUCUUCGAUGGAUAGGGGUUCUGAGAGGAAGGUCCCCCACAUUGGAACUGAGACACGGUCCAAACUCCUACGGGAGGCAGCAGUGAGGAAUAUUGGUCAAUGGGCGAGAGCCUGAACCAGCCAAGUAGCGUGCAGGAUGACGGCCCUAUGGGUUGUAAACUGCUUUUAUACAGGAAUAAAGUUAGCCACGUGUGGUUAUUUGUAGGUACUGUAUGAAUAAGGACCGGCUAAUUCCGUGCCAGCAGCCGCGGUAAUACGGAGGAUCCGAGCGUUAUCCGGAUUUAUUGGGUUUAAAGGGAGCGUAGGCGGACGCUUAAGUCAGUUGUGAAAGUUUGCGGCUCAACCGUAAAAUUGCAGUUGAUACUGGGUGUCUUGAGUACAGUAGAGGCAGGCGGAAUUCGUGGUGUAGCGGUGAAAUGCUUAGAUAUCACGAAGAACUCCGAUUG